rnacentral:rRNA from 1 species
UAGGGAAUCUUCGGCAAUGGACGAAAGUCUGACCGAGCAACGCCGCGUGAGUGAAGAAGGCUUUCGGAUCGUAAAACUCUGUUGUUAGAGAAGAACAAGGACGUUAGUAACUGAACGUCCCCUGACGGUAUCUAACCAGAAAGCCACGGCUAACUACGUGCCAGCAGCCGCGGUAAUACGUAGGUGGCAAGCGUUGUCCGGAUUUAUUGGGCGUAAAGCGAGCGCAGGCGGUUUCGUAAGUCUGAUGUGAAAGCCCCCGGCUCAACCGGGGAGGGUCAUUGGAAACUGGGAGACUUGAGUGCAGAAGAGGAGAGUGGAAUUCCAUGUGUAGCGGUGAAAUGCGUAGAUAUAUGGAGGAACACCAGUGGCGAAGGCGGCUCUCUGGUCUGUAACUGACGCUGAGGCUCGAAAGCGUGGGGAGCAAACAGG